rnacentral:lncRNA from 1 species
AUUUACAAACCGCGACAUUCAUUCUAUGAUUCUUACCUUUUGUAGAGUAUUUCAGAUGGUCUGUGUGCAUCAGACUAAGUUUAUAUAAAUUUCCUUCUGAAUGUGUACAAAUAUAUAUAUGUUUCUUUCUCUGUACCAGUACUUAAGUCUAUAUGGACCUGCAUCUGUAGAUCUCUGGAUCUCUUUCCUAUGUGUGAUCUCUGUGUGUGUCGGGGCGGGGAGGGGGGGGUGUGUAUUACUAUAAGCAUGGUGUUUACUUCUUUGUGUCUUGUCUAUGUUUGCAUUUGUCAAUGUCCAUAGUGGUUCUGAGUACUUGCAUGAAUGUUUGUGUUAAAAAAGACAAGGUUGAGCAACUUUAAUUGGGCCCAUUACUGUUACUAAAUUGUUUAAAUAGGCCUGGUGGAAAACAUGGACCAAUAAUUUUGAAUUCUGAUUUUUUUUUCACACUAAGACCCAUACCUUACUUAAUUGGGUUUAGGCGACCCUAGUCAUAAGCAUUUUUAAAACAUUCCAGGUGAUGAGUCUAACGCGCAAUUCUAUACCAGUAAAGUUGCUAGAGCACUGCCAUCCUUUUGGAAAUCCGCAACCUGCUUUCCUUAAAUUUAGUAUUAAUUACAUCACAGUGGGGAGAGAGGUUAAUUUGGAUUCUUUAUUGGAUAUAAAAGAGAACUUAUCCUCUCCUUUCCUGUGGAGCAGGGUAUUAUCCCAAGAGACUGAAGCCUGUAAGAUAACCCCUAAAUUAACCUAUGAAAACAGCUGAAAAGGAAUUCCCCUCCCAACCCAAUCCUCCUUCCAUUCCAGCAGAUACCUGUUUCCUUUUAUGAGUACAUCUGUCUAAUUCUGUCUAAUUAAGCAGAUGUAUUGCUGCCUUAAUUUCCAUAUAAAUUCUUCAGAGCCUCUGUGGGAGUUUGGUAAACCCAAAGAAGAUUUAUUAGUAUAAUAAACAAAAUGUUUUAUUUGCGGGGGAAAAAAGUAUAUUUGCAAUAUUCCUUCCACGGGGAGGGUCAGGCAAGAGAAAUUAUCUCAGUUAAAUAUGGAAUCUAAAAAAGUGAAACUUAUAGAAGCAGAGGGUAGAAAGGUGGUAGCCAGCAGCUGCAGGGGCACUGCGGGGAUGGCCAAAAGGUACAAGAUUUCAGUUACAAGAUGAAUAAGUUCUGGGGAUCAAAUGUACAAGCAUGAGUACCGGUAGAUUGGGUUAAUUUCAUUGUGAUGAUCAUUGUACAAUGUAUACAAUAUCUAAUCAUCACAUUGAAUAUACAUAAUCUUUGUCAAAAAAUUUAAAAUUUUUGAAAGAGAAAAUACAAAAGGUGGUGCAGAUUAGAGAUCUAAAGUUAAGGGAGGGGGAAAAUCCAGGAAGAAGGAAGAAGAAAAAUAAAACCUCAGAUAUGUAAAGCUUGAAAGAAAGGGACACACAUGGACAAUCAAGAAACUUUAUAAACGUUAGCAGGGGAAAUGGGCCCCUUCCUUCAGGCUGCAGACUCCAUUUGCAGUACGGAUGAGAGGAGACUUUGGAGUGAGAGACUGUCUGGCUGCUGACUUUUUACUAAACCUACCACCACCAAUCACACUCCGUGGAGAUCUCUCAGAUACUGAGGAUUUGAAUUCUGACAUUCGUGGUGAUGAAGAGUCAGUGGAUAGCAGACUUUCACUUACUGAGGCAAGAAAAAAAUUAAAAUUCCCAAUAUUCUCACUAUCCACUACAGCAUCUAGAAGUUUACAUGACACACAGUAAAUGCUCAGUAAAUAUCUGAGAAAUAAACUGGGGAGAGGUCUGGUUUUAACAAUCUGCUCUAUCUGAAUAGGCUGCAUAGAGGUAUCUGUCUUUAGCAGAAUGAAAGCCAAAGAAUCAAUGAGAAAAUUCUCUUAUGUCUCUAAAUUUCUUACAAGGGGACUAUUCUAUGAAAUAAAGUAAUUCUAGAAAGACCAAAAACUUAAUAAGAUAGAGGUAGAAGUAGGGACUAUGAGUCAGAGUUUAUUAGCUCGAUUUAAUAAUGUCCACUUUUAUAGAAGAACAAAGUAAGGAAACAGCUUUAUGCCACAACUUACCUAGAAACAUCAGCCAUAUUUUAAACAAUACUUUAUAGCUUCUAAAAAUAGCUCAGAUAGAGGGGUUUGGGUGGAUAAAAAUAACAACUAUCAUAUAUUGGAUUGUCCUUAUGUACUAGCACUAUGAUUUACAUGGAAGGCCCAUUUCACAUUCCCAUUUGGCUCAGUAGGUUGGUUUAGUAGAGUCGUAAUUUUAUAGGUAAGAAUGAUUAAAAUUCAAUAAGUUAAAUUUACUUGCCUAAGGUCACAAGACUAGUGAAAGAUAAUUGAUAAUUCUAACUCAGGCCAGUUGACUCUAGAACCCAUAUAAUUAACCACUACUCUGACUUUUCUUAACCUCAACAGUAUCAGGUGCCAAACAUACUUACAAUCACUGAGGUUCUGACUGACAAAAAAUUACCAAAUGUGGUGGAGAAACUUGAAUGGAGACUACUUAACAUGCGUAUGAUCCAACUUCCUUAAACAACACACACUAAGAUACUUAAGUACAGUGCAAGAUAUAUACUGUCUCUGUACAGAUCUUUGGGAAUACCUUAUAGGAAAGAUAUGAAAUUACUUUGCUUGGCAAGUUUUAAGAUAGGAAAUAAUGUCUGUCCCACAGAAUUUUAUAGCUGCCCUUGGGACUAUUAGGUUCUAUUUCUGUCAUUUUUUAAUUGAGUAACCUAUAGUCCUGAAUAAAUUUGUCCAGUAACAAAACUAGUCAAUAAUAAGAUUAGGAUGAGAAUUGAGUUCUGCAAACUCCUUAUCUACACAUCUUUUGAUGAUAUCAGCUGUUUAAUCUUCCUGAGAACUCUUUAGAAGCAGGAAGACAGAUUUGUUGACCUCACUGACCUUGACUGGACUAAAACAUCCCUUGGAUAUUUCUGUCCAUUGAUCCACAAUAAAUUCUUAAUAGGAAGACAAUGUCUUCUUGAAAUGGGAAUUAAUAGGUUCCUUUUCUCUGUACCUUGGCAUUGUUAACAUGGAAAACAGGGGUACAAGCAUUAUUCAGUUUUAUUACUUAGAAUAAAUCCUUUGGGAUAGUUUUUGUUAUUUUGACCUCUGACUUAGACUGAUAAACUUCUGAGGCAUUGGGAGGGAUGCUUAUACUCUAAUAAAAUCAAAUCUCUAUAUCAUAAUCUGCAAGAAAAAAUUCAAAAUAUAAAAUUUUUUCUAAUUUUGUUUUCCCCAAAAUAUCCCUGAAAAAAUCAAGAUUUUAGAGUUUUAUGUAGUAUUAUGGAGUCUAUUAAUCAAUCAUUAGAAAUUAGCAAAAAAAAUUGCUAAAUUGAUUCUACUUUCAAUUAGAUCCAGCUUUCAUCUCACCACCCCCUUGUUUAAUACCACUGUGGCUACUUAGCUUUAAAAUGGAACUUCAACCUAUUGGUGUAAAAUUUCCCUUGGAAAGAGGAAAAUAGAAUCUUAAGACAAUGAGGAUGAGAAACAGCAAUUUCUAGGUUAAAACUUGGCAGGUUGUAGAAGAUACUAAUCUGAAAGUGACCAUUUGAUUAAAAAAAUCAAGAACUUGUUCCUGAGGCUGGGGGCACAGAGAAUGAAGAAAGAGUUCUUUAAAUGUGAUGAAGUUUCUUCUUCAUAAAUAAAAAUGUAAGUGGAAGUCUCAACUAUUUAAACAAACAUUUUUACUACUAAUCAGAUAUGUGCAAAUUAAUUAACAGCAAGAUAUAAUUUUACAAGAGGCAAAUUAGCAAACUAUAUUUCUCAGUGAUGAUACCCCAUGCAAAUUCACAACUUUUCUUGAUCCUAUCAGGAAGAUGGAAUUGCAAGGCAAUAAGCUAGAAAAAAUGUCUAAGGAGGGGAAAAAAAACUGCAAGGAAAGACAAGAUGCAAACACUGGCUUAAGUAAGAUAGACACAAGUGGACACUGGUAAUAAGAGUUUGGUUGAAAAUUUGGUAGAAGACAGGUAUGUACUGGUGAUAAAGCUUAAUGUCCCUGAGGAUGACAGAAAUUCCAGAUGUCAAUACCCUCUUUGGGAUUUUUUUAUGUAGUUACCCCAGCAAGAGCUUACAAAAAAGACUGUAGUGAGUCCUAACAAAAUGUUUCUUGAGGUACAGGUUUGGGGGAGGGAAUAGUAACCACUGCCAGAGAAUCAUGCAACUCCAUUGGACACUGUUCUAUCUCUGUUAUGUGAGUCGUAAAAUAUAAUGGGUUGAAUAGUGACCUCUCAAAAGAUAUUCAUGCCUUAAUUCCCAAACCUAUGAAAUUAAGUCAUAUGACACAAGGUAUAAUUAAAUUAAGGGUUUUGAAAACAGAACUUUAUCUUGGAUUAUCUGGGUGGGCCCUAAAUGCAAUAACAUGUGUUCUUAUAAGAUAGACACACAGAGGAGAAGAUAGAAGAGAGGGUGAUAUCAAGACUGAGUUAGAGCUAUAAGCCUAGGAAUGCCAGGGCCAUCCCUAAAAGUUGGAAGAGGUAAAUAGUGGAUUUUUUUUUUUUUUUUUUUUUAGAGUACCCACAGGGAGCACAACCUUGCUGGAUUUUAGACUUCCAGCAUCCAGAAUUGAGAGUGAUUAUUUUGUCUUAAGCCACCAAGUCUUUGGUAAUUUUUUAGAGCAGCCUCAGGACACUGAUUCAGAGGGUAACAAACUGUGGCAACUUAAGGACACUAGUGAAAACCUAUUGCAGCUAGAGGAGGGAAACAGAUUAAAAAAAAAAAAAUCUAUCCCUGGAGUAGGGGUGGAGAAAAUGCCGAAUUAUUGGCAAGACCACACACCCAGGGCCCAUUGUGCCUGCUAAAACCAAGAAGUAAUCAGAAUAACAGGCAAUAUCCUGCAUGCCUCUCACUAGGCUAACAAGAUUCAAAUCAUAAAAAACUGGAAAAUAAUGUUGUACAAGGAUAGGAAAGGGACAUGAGUAUGAAAAAUAUCCUUUCAGAGGUGGAAUGCAAAAGCUCAGUGUGAUGUAGACUAUGAGAAAAACUAUCUGACAAAUAAGCCCCUACUCUAAACAGAAAGUUUUGCUAGAGGAAUUGAAAGCCUGUGACCCAGCAAAGAUAAUCACAUUAAUAAACUUCAAAUCCAGCCCAAAUCCCAACUAAAAAAACUCAAAUGCUUACACUGAAGUCCUAUCAGGAAGAAUGCUUUGGCCAUUUUUAGACAUAUAGUUAAUCACACAAGUCUCUACUAUUCUUAUCAAGAUAUUCACCUUUCCACAAAAAUAUGGUAUAUUAAAAAUAACACACAAAUACACAACAUAAUUCCAAAGACAAAGCAAUCAGCAUUAGCAGAAUCAGAUAUGACAUAGAUGUUGGAACCAUGCCACAGCUUCAAAACAACCAUGACUAAUAUGCUAAAGGUUCUAAAGGAGAAGGUGAACCACACGCAAAAUCAGAAGAAUUUCAGCAAGAACAAAAAGGAAAAUAUAAGAAACAUUCAAAUAUGAACAAUUCAAGUGAAAAAUACAACUGAGAAGAGGACUGCUUUUGACAGGUCAUCAGAGGACUCAGUAGUGCUGGGUAGAAAAAAAUCAAUGGCUGUAAAGUUAAUGACAUUUACAUAGCUCGAGGAGAAGGCUGGCUGCCCCACCCUAAUCUUAUUAUGUAAAUGAACUUUCCCCUUGGCCCGUGCCAUCUUGUCUGCUCCUUACUGUAUACCUGGCUGGCAAAGAAGAGAAGAUGGAGCUGCCAUUUUGAACUUGACUGGUGCAGCUGUUGGCAUCUGCGUCUGCAGCUCGACUUUACAGGCUGCUCUUUGUUAGAAAUGAAAAUGAUUCGGGGCUGCCUUUCAUUAAAAGGAAAAACUUACUGAGGACUUCGGUAUCCUCACUAUCAGCCAAAGUAAUUUCUUCUUAACUCUUGUAUCAAUAAUGAUGGGAAACUUGGAUCUGCACAACAAAAUGGCCAGCAUUGUAAAUGAAAUAAAUGAAUAUAAAAGUCAUUUUUUUAAAUUUGUAAUUGCUCUAAAAGAUAACUGGUUAUUUAGAGCUAAAAUAAUGGCAGUUAAUUUUGUGUUUUUAAUGUAUGUAAAUGUAAAAUAUGUAGUAAUAAUGGCACAAUGUAUGAAACAGAAGACUUGGGAAUAUACUGCUAUGAGCUCUUAAACUACAUGUGGAGUGGCACAAUGUUAUUUGGAGGUUGAUUCACAUUGUUUAGAAACACUAAAAAAAUUCUUGAGCAGGAAGGAUGUGUGUAUUUAUAACAUAUAUUAAAUAUUUGACAGCGAUGACACAAAUAUAGGAAGACUUGAGACUACAUAAUUGUAUGGUUCUAAAAUUACAUAUUAAAACUAUAUAACAUUAUAUGAAGGUAAUCUUCAAAUUA